UUUCUUUUUGUUUUUGACUAAUCAAAAGACUCUCUCUCUCUCUCUCUCUCCUCUUCUUCUUCACCCUCGCAUUUUAGCUCUCUCCUAUCUGCAACAACCAAGACUCAUCAUCAAACUUCACAGAUUGAACCUAAAAUCACCACCAUCGUGCUCCUUUCAUACUCACAAGUCCAUCCGUAAGAACCGAUCUUAAAGUAAUCGAGUUUUGAGUGUCCAACUCAUAGCAACUCAGAGCUCUAACUCGGGUGUAUGUUCCUCCAUGACUUUUUCAUUCGAGUUGCACGGUUUUGGAAGGUUUGGAGACAUCUAGGCAACUCCCCGUGGCCACUAGCCUAGGUUUCAAGUGGAGCCAAUGUGAGAACAUGCGGCUUUGAGACGACGAAAAUAGGGCUGAGAGUUUUGAGGCUUUUUCAGUCCAUUUCCGUCCACUUUUUGGACUUUUGAAAGAUGGCGGCAGCGGAUAAAGGAAGACAACUGGAAAAGAAGGAGAAUAUGCUGUUAAAGUUAACAGAAUAUUUUGACGCUGUUUGGUAACGCCGUUAGACUUAACGAAAUUUUCUGUCAAAUCUAAUAGAAUAUUCCCUAGGGUUUCUAUCAGUUUGUUAGGCAUGUGGCCUGUGCAUGGGGCUGUUACUUGGCAGCGCGUGAGGGUGCGUCAGGCCUCCGGGCAUCAUGUUCUUGACAUGUACGGGUUCGUGACAUUGAGUAUAAUGUUUUUGUAUACUUAAACCCUCUGUUUGAGCGAACUAUGGGGGAUUUUCCUAGCCUUUUAGUGUAUGUCCUAAUUAAUUAAUUAGUAAAGUUAUUUCACAUA